AAAUGAAUAGACGGGGACCCGCACAAGCAGCGGAGCAUGUGGUUUAAUUCGAAGCAACGCGAAGAACCUUACCAGGGCUUGACAUCCUCUUGCAAGUCCGGAUAACGCCGGACCCUCUUCGGACAAGAGAGACAGGUGGUGCAUGGUUGUCGUCAGCUCGUGUCGUGAGAUGUUGGGUUAAGUCCCGCAACGAGCGCAACCCUUGUCAUUAGUUGCCAUCAGUUAAAGCUGGGCACUCUAGUGAGACCGCCGGGGACAACUCGGAGGAAGGUGGGGAUGACGUCAAAUCAUCAUGCCCCUUAUGUUCUGGGCUACACACGUGCUACAAUGGUCGUUACAGAGAGAAGCAAGUCCGCGAGGUGGAGCAAAUCUCUAAAGGCGAUCCCAGUUCGGACUGCAGGCUGCAACUCGCCUGCACGAAGUAGGAGUUGCUAGUAAUCGCGAAUCAGAACGUCGCGGUGAAUGCGUUCCCGGGUCUUGUACACACCGCCCGU
rnacentral:rRNA from 1 species